rnacentral:rRNA from 1 species
CAAACUAUCCGCCAGAGAACUACGAGCGAAAAGCUUAAAACUCAAAAGACUUGGCGGUGUCCCAUAAACCUAGAGGAGCCUGUUCUAUAAUCCGAUACUACACGUUUAACCCAACCGUCCCUUGCAAAGUUCAGCCUAUAUACCGCCGUCGUCAGUCUACCUUGUGAAAGUCAACAAGUAGGCAAAAUAGUCAGCCUUCCACUAAUACGACAGGUCGAGGUGUAGCUAAUAGGACGGCAGAAAUGGGCUACAUUUUCAUAUAAUGAAAAUACGAACAACAAACUGAAAACCUGUUAGAAGGAGGAUUUAGUAGUAAAUUAAAUAAGAAUCUUUACUUUAAUUACAUCCUGGGACGCGC